AAGGUGCAGCCUUUAUCUGCAUUUGCACCUGCACCUCAAAUUGCUUUCGGUUCUUCCCUGCGCAUGUCUGCCGAGAUUUGUGGGUAUAAGAAGAGGGUUGUUCAGGGAGAAGAAGAACGUAGCGCAGGUGAAGGAGCAGAGGGCUUGGAAGGUGCGGGUGCAGGUGCAGAUGAAUGCCAUUUU
rnacentral:pre_miRNA from 1 species